rnacentral:rRNA from 1 species
GCGGAAGGAUCAUUAUCGA